UGGUCCUAACCUUGUAAUCAAUUGUUAUUUGACUUAUACAUGCAAGUAUCCGCACCCCUGUGAGAACGCCCUUUUCCUCUCUUUGAAAUAAGGAGCCGGUAUCAGGCACGAUAGUUAGCCCAAAACACCUAGUCACGCCACAUCCUCAAGGAAACUCAGCAGUAAUUAACAUUGAGUAUGAGCGCCAGCUCGACUCAGUCAAAAUAAAGAAAGCCGGCAAAUAUGGUGCCAGCCGCCGCGGUUACACCACGAGGCUUAAAUUGAUAACUUUCGGCGUAAAGCGUGAUUAAAGUGCCUUUUAAAUAUAGUUGAACUAUAACUAAGCCGUGACACGCUUGUUAAUGAGAAAUUCAUAGACGAAAGUUACUAUAUAUUCUUCAACUUGAAUUCACGACAGCUGAGAAACAAACUGGGAUUAGAUACCCCACUAUGCUCAGCCGUAAACUUUAAAUUACACCUCAAUCGCCAGGGAACUACGAGCCAUGCUUAAAACCCAAAGGACUUGACGGUACCCCAUACCCCUCUAGAGGAGCCUGUCCUAUAAUCGAUACCCCCCGCUUAACCUCACCACUUUUAGCCUAUCAGCCUGUAUACCUCCGUCGUCAGCUUACCCCGUGAGUGUCUCAUAGUGAGCUUAAUGUUUCCUGAUCAACACGUCAGGUCAAGGUGCAGCAUAUGAAGUGGGAAGAGAUGGGCUACACUCUCUACCCUAGAGAACACGAAAGACUAUAAUGAAAUCUAGUCGGAAGGAGGAUUUAGUAGUAAAAAGAAAUCACUGAGUUCUUUUUAACUCGGCACUGGGGUGUGUACACACCGCCCGUCACCCUCUUCAAAGCAAAUUCACAGUAAAUAACUAAAUUUAGCAACUAAGAAGAGGCAAGUCGUAACAUGGUAAGUAUACCGGAAGGUGUGCUUGGAAA
rnacentral:ncRNA from 1 species